rnacentral:rRNA from 1 species
CUACUCCUACGGGAGGCAGCAGUGGGGAAUAUUGCGCAACGGGCGCAAGCCUGAUGCAGCCAUGCCGCGUGUAUGAAGAAGGCCUUCGGGUUGUAAAGUACUUUCAGCGGGGAGGAAGGCGCAUAAGGUUAAUAACCUUGUCGAUGACGUAGCCCGGCC